rnacentral:rRNA from 1 species
AGAUGCCCUAAGGCCUCGCCGCUUCGCCGUCAGGCACGGCGGGGUCGGCUCGCCCCCGUCGCCGCCCACUUCGACACCACCCCAGGGCACCGCCCCACUUCCAUCGAUCUGGCAACAGCUUUGCUCUGCUGCAGCGACGUGCUGCCCCAAUAUCCCGUACAGCUCGGGUUCCGAGGCGGAGGCAGAGGGUGAGGAAGCGCAGGCGCUGGCGCUGCAGCUCGCGGACAAAUCGAGGGAACUGCCCGUGGCGCGGACGGCGGGCGGUCGGGCGGGCGGUCGGGCAACGAGAGCUAGAGUAUGCACAUCACUACUAGGAGGGAUACCAAUACCACUGGAACUAUCACUGCGAUGAGCACGGCAGUUGUUCAGCUUGUUACAACAGAUCAUAUCGAGUAAGCAGUCGUGCAACAGAGCAUACCAAACCUUAAGUCUAGCAGACCGGCCUGGAAUCUUCGAAGAAUAUAACUGGGGAUUGGUCCCUCGAGCUUGUUAUUUGCCAAAUUACUGAAAAAUAGUAGCUGGAAUCAUUCAUGUAAAAUUUAUGUCAUUAAUCAAAUACUGCUCAGCACAGGGACUUACAGAACUGCUAGUGACUUUAUUUGACAGUCUGGAAUGGUGCCCACCAGAUUGUUAUAUAAUUUGUUACUAGGGUCACAAAAGAUGCCAACAUGAUUUCAUUUGGCG